rnacentral:sRNA from 1 species
GGUGGAAAGGAAAAGAAGUGGUCUUCAGGGGGCUCAUUUGUAAUAACUCACCUGGUUAAUCGGAGUCUCUCUACUGACUUAAGGAUUGUGGGAUGAGGGGAAUGCUAUGUUUGGCUUCAUACAGUCUCCAGGACUGGAUUCAGUAUGGGUGGUCUGAGCCUGUGGAGUGGGGCUGACCCUCCCUGGGUUCAUCUUGUGUCUCCAUCCCGAGGUCUUCAAGCCAUACCAGGCCUCCCAGCAUGACAUGUGCCGCUUCCACUCCGAGGACUACAUUGACUUCCUGCAGAGAGUCAGCCCCACCAAUAUGCAAGGCUUCACCAAGAGUCUUAAUGCCUUCAACGUAGGCGAUGACUGCCCAGUGUUUCCCGGGCUCUUUGAGUUCUGCUCGCGUUACACAGGCGCAUCUCUGCAAGGAGCAACCCAGCUGAACAACAAGAUCUGUGAUAUUGCCAUUAACUGGGCUGGUGGUCUGCACCAUGCCAAGAAGUUUGAGGCCUCUGGCUUCUGCUAUGUCAACGACAUUGUGAUUGGCAUCCUGGAGCUGCUCAAGUACCACCCUCGGGUGCUCUACAUUGACAUUGACAUCCACCAUGGUGAUGGGGUUCAAGAAGCUUUCUACCUCACUGACCGGGUCAUGACGGUGUCCUUCCACAAAUAUGGAAAUUACUUCUUCCCUGGCACAGGUGACAUGUAUGAAGUCGGGGCAGAGAGUGGCCGCUACUACUGUCUGAAUGUGCCCCUGCGGGAUGGCAUUGAUGACCAGAGUUACAAGCACCUUUUCCAGCCGGUUAUCAACCAGGUAGUGGACUUCUACCAACCCACGUGCAUUGUGCUCCAGUGUGGAGCUGACUCUCUGGGCUGUGAUCGAUUGGGCUGCUUUAACCUCAGCAUCCGAGGGCAUGGGGAAUGUGUUGAAUAUGUCAAGAGCUUCAAUAUCCCUCUACUCGUGCUGGGUGGUGGUGGUUAUACUGUCCGAAAUGUUGCCCGCUGCUGGACAUAUGAGACAUCGCUGCUGGUAGAAGAGGCCAUUAGUGAGGAGCUUCCCUAUAGUGAAUACUUCGAGUACUUUGCCCCAGACUUCACACUUCAUCCAGAUGUCAGCACCCGCAUCGAGAAUCAGAACUCACGCCAGUAUCUGGACCAGAUCCGCCAGACAAUCUUUGAAAACCUGAAGAUGCUGAACCAUGCACCUAGUGUCCAGAUUCAUGACGUGCCUGCAGACCUCCUGACCUAUGACAGGACUGAUGAGGCUGAUGCAGAGGAGAGGGGUCCUGAGGAGAACUAUAGCAGGCCAGAGGCACCCAAUGAGUUCUAUGAUGGAGACCAUGACAAUGACAAGGAAAGCGAUGUGGAGAUUUAAGAGUGGCUUGGGAUGCUGUGUCCCAGGGAAUUUCUUUUCACCUCUUGGUUGGGCUGGAGGGAAAAGGAGUGGCUCCUAGAGUCCUGGAGUGGUCACCCCAGGGCUUUUGCUGACUCUGGGAAAGAGUCUGGAGACCACAUUUGGUUCUCGAACCAGCUACCCCCUUUUCCUCUCUCUCCCAAGGCCUGACGAUGGUACCUAUCAGGGAUGAGAAACGGACAAGGAUAGCUAUCUGGGACAUCAUUGGCAGUGGGCCCUGGAGGCCAGUCCCUAGACCCCCUUGCCCCUUAUUUCUUCCCUGCUUCUCUCGAACCCAGAGAUUUUGAGGGAUGAACGGGUAGACAAGGACUGAGAUUGCCUCUGACUUCCUCCUCCUCUGGGUUCUGACUUCUUCCUCCCCUUGCUUCCAGGGAAGAUGAAGAGAGAGGGAUUUGGAAGGGGCUCUGGCUCCUUAACACCUGAAUCCCAGAUGAUGGGAAGUAUGUUUUCAAGUGUGGGGAGGAUAUGAAAAUGUUCUGUUCUCACUUUUGGCUUUAUGUCCAUUUUACCACUGUUUUUAUCCAAUAAACUAAGUCGGUAUUUUUUGUACCUUU